rnacentral:misc_RNA from 1 species
AGGAGGAUUUCCAUCUCGUGGUGGCUUGGGCCAGAAGAUCUUUGUUGGUCGACUACCUCAAGAGGCAACAACUGAAGAUCUUCGCCAGUAUUUUGGUAGAUUUGGCCGUGUUUUAGAUGUGUAUGUCCCAAAGGAUCCAAGAAGACCAGGGCAUAGAGGGUUUGGUUUUGUUACAUUUGCUGAUGAUGGUGUUGCAGAUCGUGUUUCUCGAAGGCCUCAUGAGAUAUGUGGACAUCAGGUUGCAAUUGAUUCUGCUACUCCUCUUGAUGAUGCUGGUCCAAGUAACAAUUACAUGAUGGAUCCUCCUCCUCCUGCUCCUGAAGCAUAUGGGGGAUAUGGUGGUCCUAUGCGUACUUAUGGAAGGAUGUAUGGGGGCCUAGAUUAUGAUGAUUGGGGUUACGGCCUGGGUGGUGGGAGACCUUCAAGAUCAGAUAUGAGAUACAGGCCCUACUAGCUGGCCUGGUUGGAUAGGAGGCGGUCAAGAUCAGAUAUGAGAUUCAGGCCCUAGUAGCUUUGUGUUGCAGGAGGUCAGAGGCUGUCUGAAUUUCCAAUGGGUGACAACAAUAGAUAUGUCAUAUUUAUAUCAGUUUAUUAUUAGGUGGACAUCAUAAUACAUGUGCUACUAAUACUUAAGUAAUUGAAAAAGCAGUGCUGAUGGAUUGUGCAAUUCACUUCAUACUUGAUCCUUUGUAUUAAAUGUAUUGAAGAAACAAAGAAUGGGUGCUAAUUCCAUAUCCAGGAGUAGAAACA